GUUUUCCAGGACCCGUACAUGUUCGCACCCUGUUUCAGCCAUGUUGCAAUGACCGACUAAAAUCCCGCUCGAUACAGCGUUACGAAAGUUUGACAUACCUGCCUGGCCUGUGCGACGAAAGAUGGAAAGAUUACUCAAGAUUGGAAAUGUUUCAGUCACAGCAAGUGACGUAAGAAAAAUAGGAAGAAAAUCCAUUUCGUCCAAGAAAGCAAAAUUCCGAAACGCCGAAAAAUUUAUCGAUCGACAUCAGCGAGUGUGCAAAAACUCGCGAUCUUUUAAAUACGCUAAUAUUACGAUACCUGCGAAAGGCCCAGCAUAUUUCCGGCGAGUUUCUUGCGGAUCUCCCCUACAUUUUGUGCUGUGAUUGGAACUUUUCUCCUCGAGUAAACCCUCAGCCAACAUAUGGCCUGCAACUGGCCUGUAUGUAUCUUUUGUGUAAGAAAACACGAAACGACUCCUAGUCUUGCUGCUCGGUGAUUGGGCAGAAAAAAACAAAGGUUUUCUGGCACCAAUCAGAAGUCAGAACUACUUCGACCGUUUGGAGCCUGGUUUGGAACUGGUCCGUUAAAAUCUUGUCCCCAGGGGCUCUUCCUCUCGUUCUUGACUUUUCUUCGCCCAAAUUUUUUUUCUCGCCCGUUUAGACUUUUACCCGCCCCUACUAACUGCCCCUGGGUCUCCGAGGAUGAGGUAAUUAUAGAUAUUUCUUAAACAAUAUUUUGUAAUUAAUGAUCUCUCAGACAUUGUUUUCUUCAAGAAAAGAUUCAUACCUCACAUGGAGGAUUUUCCUUUAAGAGCUUUCUCUUCCUGAUACUUUGGAAUUUCUGAAGACUGGCCAUGAAUGGGUGUUGGGUGCGAAUAUCUUCUGGAACUGCACAUUCAGAUUAAUGGUGUUCAAGUAGCAGCUACAGUAUGAUUACAUGCCUGUUCUGUCAGUCAAUAUAUGAACAGUGUACACAUGGGCAGCCUGGAUUAAAACAUCAAAGAUUUUCAAAGCAACCAUGGCUUGACAACUUGAUGGGAUUAUAAUUUCUGCACUAACUUCAUUGAACAAACUGACUUGGAAGUUGACUUCUGCAACCCAUCCCGUGUGUAGUAAUAUCAUAGCUGCAACAUUGUGACAGAUACACUGUAUUACAUUACUAAGAAACACAUAUAUUAGCUGCGGUCACAUCUACGACGUAACUAAAGUUUAACUUAAGUUAGUGUCAAGUUACGUGACGUCAUACCUAGCAGUAGUUAGUGCUUUCGGUUAACUUUGCGGUCACACCACGCAGUUAACUACAGUUAGUUCUAAUUAGCCUAUGGAUGAUGUCAGAAUUAAAAGAGGUUCGUGAUAGCCCUGCGAGGAAGGUCUGGAAUUUACCACAACAAAUACAAGGAUGGCUGCACAAAAGCUUCAAGGCUUCAUGUGUUGCUAACUUGUUGCAUGUAAAUUUUUUGUUUUUGGUUUUUGGUUUUCCCCUCGCUUCACGCUCAGUUUUUAUUUUGCAUAUUUAUAUAUGCUCAUCUCGCACGUGCGAAAAGAAUUCUGAUUGACUGUUUGUUUGUAAACUUAAGACUAACCCAUGAACCCUGCUUGGGUAUAACUAUAGUUAGUCUGUAUUGUUUUGGAUCACCGAGGCAUAAAUUUUCUAACUAUAGUUAGAGCAAACCGAGAAGUGGUCACAUUACCAAAAUAGCUAACUAUAGUUAUCCCUGGCUUAACUAUAGUUAGUUGCCCAGAUGUGACUGCAGCCAUUAACUAAUUAUUUAAAGUGCCCGUUAAAUUAAUCAGUUUUUCUUGGAGAUAAUUUACUCAUGGUCUUUUUAAAUAAUUAUACUAACGGAGAAACAACAACAACAUAGAGUCUCCAGUAGC